CGGGCGUUUGUUGUUUUGCAAUAAUAUUCAUUAUUGGCCAUCAUCCAAGAAUUGUAGAAAAUAUCUUUUCGUGGUUAUUUUCAAAGAUGCAUACAUACAUAUAUACACGACUUUAAUAACGAAUUCUUAUGUAACGGAAGGAAGCUGUUCCAAAUUGCGUUCUUGAGCCUAUUCCUCUCUCUCAUUGGUCUGUCGGUGGCACAGCCAGUCACGUGCCGAUCAGUAGGAAGUGCAUCAGGUACAAAGUACAAACGCAUCGAUAUGUUGUUAACCUCAAAUUUCUAUGGAGAGCCGACUUUACGAAUCGAUACCUUCGAAAGCGUGGGAAAUUCAUAGAAACAACAAGGGUCGUUUGACACGGAUAACGAUGAUGACAAUGGCGAGGAGCUUUGCGUGUCUACGUUGGAUUAAAAAAUUCAAAUGCGAAUGUGGAAAGAAGAACGAGCUACAAAUUACGAUCUCGUCCGUACCUACCAAGAAACUUUUAUCGUAGCACGAACGAACGAACGAACGAACGAACGAACGAAAGAACAAACGCGAGAGACCGUCUCUUUCUCUUUCUUCGGUAUGUUUUACGAGACGAAGCAGCCGCUUCGUUUCUAUCGUGUUUCUUACGAUUCCGUUAUUCCUCCCUGUACAAAUUCUCGUUAAAAUCCGUCCAGGAGGUAAAAACGUUAAGUGUCUUACAGUGUCUCGCAAUUACCAACAUUGGAAAAUAUAUAUAAAGUAACGAAUCUAAACUCAUUUAGAGACUCGUGGAAAAACAGAAACGUCAUGGGUUCACCGUAACUGUCGAUCAAAAGACACAAGUGGAAUAAUGGUGUAACGAAAUAGAAAGGAUUGGUCUCAUAUCGAAUUAGUUUCUAGGUGAAUCAUGUCUUUGCAUAACGUCAAUGUAAAACUCUCGAGAGAUAGGUGUUUGAGUUUGCAGGAGGAGAAACGCUCUGGCGUUUCUCGACAGUGCGAACAACGUGUACACUUUACACCGUCUUCAGACGGGGUGAGAAAGAGAGAGAGGAGAAGAAAGAGAAGGAGAUGCAAAGCGGUUGGUCGGAGUCGAAGGAAAGCGUAGAAAGACGUUGUUGACGAGACGAUAUAUCCAAAGGUAGUAGCAGCCGGUGUUGACAAAACACCGAGACGUCGAUAUGUGUACCCGCGGAAGGCGCUUCAUAGCAGUCGAUGACACAGCCAGCGAGCAGACGGUCUGACCUGGAUGCCUUGUUUGCUUCGCUACCAUCGGCUCGACCCGUCUGCACGCUCCUCUCUCUCUCUCUCUCUCUCAAACUUGUACACAGAUACAGGUCCCUACAUGCAUUCGCACACAGUCGCGUCUAUACUCCAUAUAUCCAGACUCGAUACUGCAACGUGCGUGCCAUGAGGUUUUGUCGCAACCUCGAGCACGUGUAUACUUACACUUUGUGUAAGUGUGUUUGCUCGUGUUUCGUGUGUACCACAAAGCUUGCAGAAAGAGAUAGAGGUACUCGUAGUGUAAAGUCUAGGCUUUUCCUUCACGCUGCUUGGUAAAUAAAAGACACAGCUUGUUUGAAAUUUCCUCGCUCGCUUUUUUUUUUCAAAACUUUACGUUUCAUGUGAUUUUCUCAAAGAUCGAUCUUGAUCGUUCCCUGGCCAAGUUGGAUUAAGUAUACCGAUCUGUUAUACUUUUUCUAACGCAUCUCUAAAUAAGAGUAAUGGACCACGAGCAGUUACGUAUCACAGUAGGAGCUCGAAGGAAAUGGUGAUUCAUUUCGUGAUACCCCACAACGAGAAAAAUGUCCCUGGAAGGGAGCUGCCAUUUCUACGUAAUUUGCAGUGAAAGAGACACUCGCCGUCUCCGCGUUUCUCUCCUCGUAAAAAGUUUCUUCUUCGAGAUUGGGUCGUGAGAUGAGUACUCGCGACGAUAUAUCGCUGCGUCUACUCGUUUUUACGCUCGUUAAAAGGAGGAAAAGUAUUCGAACGUAGGUAGAAACAUUGAAUACCUAAAUAGAAAUUGACUAAUUAGAUGUGUUUAAUAAAACGUCUUAUAAUUACUUGAAAUCAUUUUUGCUUUUGAAAAUUGUGUUAACGAUUUAAUUUAGUACUUCAGAGCUUGCAACUUGAACGAUUUAUAACACACGGUCAUAAACUUGAUUAUUAAACAAAACAAAUAAAUAAAUAAAAAUUUAGAUCUUUUCAAUGGAUAUUUCAUUCAUUGUCACGAAGCAGACGUUCAAAGGGAUCUCUCUUUUUGUAUCUAAUAAUUUACGAUUACGAUUUCACUUGGCAAUUUUUUUUCUUUACUGGGUAGGAGAAAAGAGAAAGCAAUGAAAGUCGUCGAGGUAACGCGUGGGCGAUAGAUAACCGUUAGGAGCAUCGUAAUAAUAGGCGGAUGAGUUAAUUAGAGGGAUUUAAGAGCCGACAAGCAUACCGGCAUAACAUGCAUCAAUCGAGUGAAUCGCUGUCUCUCUGUCGUCGAUAAUUACCAAUACAACAACAACGAUAGCGACAAAGUGCUUUUGUCUUAAAUCGAGGAAUUCCAAGUAUAGUAGUCGAUGAUUAAAUCAAAGUAUCAUCACGGCGCCAGUUAAUUAAUUAGAAAUUUGCUUAAUUAAGUGAUUUAGUAGGCCGAAUACCGUAGCAAUUAGCACGUGUACCCGCCGGCGUCUGAGAGGAGCGCCGAGUAAACAGAGGCAAGACUAGAGAAAGAGCCUUGGGAAGAGGCAAAGAAAACAAAGACUGGUGUUAUUUCUUACCUAAUCAAAAGUGAGUAAAAAGAAGAGAGAGAGAGAGAGUGAGAGAGAGAAUUCUCUAAUUGAAAGUAUAGAUAAAAUAUGUUAGAAAUGUAAACGUCAAAUCGAAUACGCUGCGUCAGAGUUGCGUCAGAGAAAAACGCAUUCUGCAUGGCUUUCCAUUUGUAUGCACCCUUCUUGAUGCGUUUCGGACAAUGAUUGGAUACUUCCAUUAGCGCGCAUAGAUCGAACUUAACGUUUAAAUUCUUUCUCCUUCUCUCUCUCUCUCUUAUACGCACGUACAGUGAACAUACCUGUAUUUUAAACAUAUUGAAAAUUAACAGGAAGUUUAAUUAAAAAACGUAAAUUAAGGUUCCAGUGAUUAAAAUACCGACUGAUUUUCUACAGUCGUUACCACAAAUUUCCAAUUAACUUCUUUGUUUUUUCUUCUUUAUUUUUCAGCGAACUUGAAGAUUGGAAAUAUAUUUCCCUCUCUCUCUCUCUCUCUCUCUCUCUCUCUCUCUCCUUCGCGUUCUUUUAUUUGUAUCCCGUCUGAAGCCUUAAGAGAUUUCUCUGAAAUAUUCCAAAGCCCUGGUUACGCGUAUCAAAGGAAUCCUCGCGCUCAUUACACAUACUUUCCCCUUUCCGCUUUGAAACAUAUAAAGCGAGGUUGCGAAGUUGUAAAAGAGGUGCUUAAAUCCAGUGACUUUCUUCGUUGAAGGAAGAAAAAAAAAGGAAGAAGGAGAGAAUGUCUACAGCGUACGCCAGGUCUUCUUAGAGCGUACACAGACACAUACAUGGAAUAUAUCGAAGAUGGCGUCUAGCUAGACUAGACGAUAGAAAAAUAGAAAAAAGACUAGAUUAGACGAUGACUAGACUUAUCUCCUAUAGACAAACAUCCAUGUACACAUGAGAUCAAAUUUUUGCGUUCUCUUUAAACCCAAUCGCGGAGAACGAAUCGAGUACCAUAGAAAACGAACGUGGAAAACGAACAAUAUUUCCUAGCACCGUCGCGCCGGUCGCCGAUAAAUACAGACUUCGCGCAUAGCGGCGCCCUACCGGUUUUGCGGUAUCUCGAACGGCUUAAUGGCACUGUUAACUGCCGUAUUAUUUAACGGGGAUUUAUGCAUUGCAGUCUGCCGAUUAAAACACUACGGUGGUUAGGGAGAGGGGGGUAGGGAGAGCGUGGAAGAGGACCAAGCGAAAGGGUGGCGAUGAGGUUUGGGUGCUAUGAGUGGAAGUGAGAUAGAAAUGGAGAGGGAAACAGAGAGGGAAAGAGAGAGAGAGAGAGAGAGAGAGAGAGAGAGAGAGAAGCGGUGGCGAACUAGAGCCGACAAGGACGAGAGGGUUGGCGGAGUGCACGAUACCCUUAAUCCUUCAUAAUAGCUUGCUCUGAUAAACAGUCUACCCCCUCAUCCUUCCCAUCUUUUUCACCACGACUGGAAACUCGGGACUCGUAAAAAUCCUCAAACCGAUUAUAUACAUAUAGGCACUAUUCCGUAGAGUCUGAUCAUCGGCAGGUAUCAAUGAAUUGUUUUUUCUUUCUAAUUAGUAAUUUUCACAUUUUUCUUUAGCAUCUCGUGUGCCGUAGAAAGAGUAAAAUAAUCUGGUAAAAAGUGAUAUAGCAACAAAUCGUUCGAUGAAUACUUAAAGAAGAGAAGAAGAAGAAACGAAGAGUAAGGAAGUAGAAAGAGUGAGAGACGAAAGGCUCGUGAAUCAUCCACGUCACGAUCGCUGCCAAUGGGAUCUCGGAUCUCCCGGGCGAUGCUAUUGGAGGAUUUACAUCUCCUGUCUGUGCCGAAUGCCAGAGGAACUUGGUUCGUGCUGCUACUGCUGCUGCUGCUGCUGCUGCUAGUAGUGCUGGUGCAACGAGGACGAUGGUAAAUCCGGUUGGGCAUAUAUUCGCGGAUGCGCGAAUACGACGAGCUCUCGUGGAGGGAAAAGAGAUGGAACGAAAGGAGAAGGAGGAAGAGGGAGGAAAGAUAGAGCUAGAAUGCGUAUAUGUGUGAGAGAGAAAGAGGAGAGAGAAACGGAGCAUGGUCGAUGUGUCUAGCCUAGCCCGGUUGGCUGGCUGGCUGGCUGGCUGGCUGGCUGGCUCGGCUGGCUGGAUGAACCAGGGACCGUCUAGCUUGCGCUGCCCCGCACAAACUCGGCAUUAUCUAUACGUCUAGACACCCCUGCGCCACACCAGAGAAAAGAGAGAGAGAGAGAGAGAGAGAGAGAGAGAGAGAGAGGAAGAGAGAGAUAGACUGUAGGCAGCUUGGCGCACUGCUUGUAAUUUACAGCAAGCCCCACCGUGUCUUUCUACGCUCGCUCUAACCUACCAACUUCCUCUCCUUCUCUUCUUCUCCAUCUUGGUCCGUCUCGUUACACUCUCUAGCUAGUCUUCCUGUGUAAACUCACCCCACAAGAUAUAGUUAUACAACUUUGUUGUUAUCACGCUAAGAUGCAACCAUCAAUCGUGGAUCGUAACUUUUAGCUCUUGGGGACCACGAAAAGAGCACGCACUUUCUCAGACGGUAUCGUUACGAGAUUAAACCGACCGAAUCGCCUUAGACUCGACCUUCAAAGAAACUCUCUUGUCCACCUCCAAGUACCUAGAGUAAGAAAGGGAGAGAACACAAAGUUUCUCCGGCCGGGACUCGAGAGAGGCAAGAAUUAAGGAAGAAAGGUAGGAAGGAAGAACACGAGUCAGGUGCGUACGACGUCGAACUUGGUGAGUUUCGAGAACGCAAUUUUCCCAGAGGAAUCGGUCCUCGCUAAUGCCAUGGCGACCAUAAAGUCGAACAGAGAAGAGAGUAAGAGAGCGAGAGAGAGAGAGAGAGAGAGAGAGAGAGAGAGAGAGAGAGAGAGAGAGAGAGAGAGAGAGAAAGUUAUACUUACUAAGAAG